rnacentral:siRNA from 1 species
GAGAUCUUGAAGCUCCUACUCGAC